rnacentral:rRNA from 1 species
AUUGAACGCUGGCGGCAGGCCUAACACAUGCAAGUCGAACGAGUGGCGGACGGGUGAGUAAUGUCUGGGAAACUGCCCGAAGGAGGGGGAUAACUACUGGAAACGGUAGCUAAUACCGCAUAACAUAGGAUGUGCCCAGAUGGGAUUAGCUAGUAGGUGGGGUAACGGCUCACUUAGGCGACGAUCCCUAGCUGGUCUGAGAGGAUGACACGCCAAACUGUAACUGAUACACUGUCCAGACGCCUACGGGAGGCAGCAGUGGGGAAUAUUGCACAGUUGGCGUAAGCCUGAUGCAGCCAUGCCGCGUGUAUGAAGAAGGCCUUCGGGUUGUAAAGUACUUUCAGCGAGGAGGCGUUACUCGCAGAAGAAGCACCGGCUAACUACGUGCCAGCAGCCGCGGUAAUUC